AAUGGGCGCAAGCCUGAUCCAGCCAUGCCGCGUGAGUGAUGAAGGCCCUAGGGUCGUAAAGCUCUUUCGCCAGGGAUGAUAAUGACAGUACCUGGUAAAGAAACCCCGGCUAACUCCGUGCCAGCAGCCGCGGUAAUACGGAGGGGGUUAGCGUUGUUCGGAAUUACUGGGCGUAAAGCGCGCGUAGGCGGAUUAGUCAGUCAGAGGUGAAAUCCCAGGGCUCAACCCUGGAACUGCCUUUGAUACUGCUAGUCUUGAGUUCGAGAGAGGUGAGUGGAAUUCCGAGUGUAGAGGUGAAAUUCGUAGAUAUUCGGAGGAACACCAGUGGCGAAGGCGGCUCACUGGCUCGAUACUGACGCUGAGGUGCGAAAGUGUGGGGAGCAAACAGGAUU
rnacentral:rRNA from 1 species